rnacentral:lncRNA from 1 species
CGUAGCUGCUUCCGGUGGCGCGCCUGGCCGGCUCCGGGCUCGAGCGUCCCCAGGCGCGUUCCGCUCCUCUGCCCGCGCGGGUUACGCCUCUCUGUGUCCAGCAACAGAGCAGAGGCCCGGCCCCGCCGCGGACAAAAGAGCGAGCCCGGAUAACAAAAUGUGUUGCGAGAAGUGGAGCCACGUGGCCGAAAUGCUGCUCUUCAUUGAAGACCGCGAGGAGGAGUACAAGAUCCUUUGCCUCUGCUCCCGAGCAUUUGUAGAGUAAGUCUUGGCGGUCCUCUCACUUUUUAUCCUUGCCUAGGAAUGUGGGUGUCGCUGAGCUCGAGUGAGGCUUACCUAAAAACCAGAUGACCUGCUUCUAGGGCAGACCGAUGUCUAAGAAAUUGGAAACUUCUCGGGCAUGAAGGAAUAUUCUACUUCGAUUACUAAAGGGAAAUUAUUAAAAUUUUGAUUUUUAAAAUGUGGUACCCUAGAUAUGUUAUUUCGUAUUUACACAAGUGAAGGGCCAAUCUCAGGGUUGAGUGAGUCGUGCGCCUCAGUGAUAGAUGCAGAAGAAUCGCAAGUUCGAUGCUGGAGGCGUGAAGUGUAAGCUAAUGAAAAUAACACGGUGAGGUGAAGGAUCUAAAUAAAGCUCUGUUUUCAAAUAGUAAAAACCUUUCCAACUAAAAUUUUCAACUAAAAAACAACUUCUAAGUAUUUGAGACAAAAGGCUUAACUGUUUACAGCAGGUUUAGAGACAUCGCUGAGGAAAAUGUUUGUUUCAUGAUUAAAAUUGCCUGGCUGGAAAGAACCUUCUGGUAGAAAAAGCACCGACAAAUUUUAAAUUUAAGCUUGAAAUUAUUCUUUUUCAUUAUGAACUUGAGGGAAGAUAUCCGAAAGUUCCUCAAAAGCGAAUUAAAACACCAUGUUAAAUUUAAUACUAAAAAGGCACUGUCCUCAUUUGCACCGGUCAAAGUUGAGCAGUUCUGAGGGAGGGCAGGGGAGAGUAAGGAUGGUAAUAAGAUAGAAAGGAAGACUCAGAGACAAGCAUUAGAAUUGGGAGGGCUGCAGGUCUGUACCACACCGGCCCCAAAUGUAUUUCUCAUAGCCUUAAUAUACUUUACAGUAUCAUGGGAAACAAGUCACAAACUAGCAGAGACAAUGGCUGACAUAGAUUGGAUAUCUGUUCCCAUCCAGAGGCUUCCCUGUUCCUUCCACCAAGAUUAAUAGAAUGUCCAGCCCCUUACCUUGAACUUAAGUUGUAGAUCCUAGUUCCCUACGUCAGCAGGCCAGGAAAUCUGCUAUCCAACAGGUCCUGACCUCCCUUGACUUUGCCUGACAGGCAGACUAUCACAGAAGCAGGCAAAAAUGGCUGCCAACGCUCAUUAUAUAUAGUCAAGCGUCCAUUUAAUUUGAACUUUUGUGCUCCUAUUAGAUGUGCUGGCAGGUAAUGGAAUAAAAGAAAGAACCAGACUGCACUGAAUUUACCUUCUAAGCAAAGAUCCGUAUUGCACUAAGAUAGCUGUUUGUAAAAUUAUUCAGUUAACUCUGGAUAUGAGAUGGGUCUGUGGAGCUUUGAUAGCAGUCUGUAGCAGGAUAGACAGUGAAAUUAUGAGGCCUUGGAAGGGGAAAGUCUUCUUGAAGUCUCUUUUUGGCUGAGAGUUGAGAACACCAGUAUCCUUAACAGAUUUUGAUGUGAAGGUUGACUGAGUGAAAAAAAUAUGUAGAAAUGGUUUGAAUAAGUAUUAAACUAGCCUGUGUGAUGGCCCACAGCUUUAAUCCCAGCACUCGGAGAAGAAAAAACAGUCAGGCUGAUCUCUGAGUUCAAGACCAGCCUGGUCUUCAAAUCCAGUCUAGGACAGUCAGGACUCUGUUACAAAGAGAAAGCCUAUCUCAA